UAACACCUGGAAACAGAUGCUAAUACCGGAUAACAACAGAUGAUGCCUAUCAACUGUUUAAAAGAUGGUUCUGCUAUCACUCUUGGAUGGACCUGCGGUGCAUUAGCUAGUUGGUAGGGUAACGGCCUACCAAGGCGAUGAUGCAUAGCCGAGUUGAGAGACUGAUCGGCCACAUUGGGACUGAGACACGGCCCAAACUCCUACGGGAGGCAGCAGG
rnacentral:rRNA from 1 species